UACGGAGGGUGCAAGCGUUAUCCGGAUUCACUGGGUUUAAAGGGUGCGUAGGCGGGCAGGUAAGUCAGUGGUGAAAUCUCCGAGCUUAACUCGGAAACUGCCGUUGAUACUAUUUGUCUUGAAUAUUGUGGAGGUAAGCGGUAUAUGUCAUGUAGCGGUGAAAUGCUUAGAUAUGACGUAGAACACCAAUUGCGAAGGCAGCUUACUACACAGCGAUUGACGCUGAGGCACGAAAGCGUGGGGAGCAAACAGG
rnacentral:rRNA from 1 species